UUGUUUUUGUGGAUUGGGUGAAGAGUGAGAAUCUUGUGUUAAUGGUGAAAUUUUUGAUGUUGUUACAGUGGUGGACUGGUGUGGUAUAAGUGGCACUGGGGGUGAAGGGUGUGAAGAAGAAAGUGAAAUUUCUUUUUUGUUUUUGUUAUUUUUAUUUUAUAUAUAUGUGGCACUAUUUUUUAAAUAAAUAUUUAUAUGAA
rnacentral:lncRNA from 1 species